CCCCUAGUAACUGCGAGUGAAGCGGGAAAAGCUCAAAUUUAAAAUCUGGCGGUUUCACCGUCCGAGUUGUAAUUUAGAGAAGUGUUAUCCGCGCUGGACCGUGUACAAGUCUCCUGGAAUGGAGCGUCAUAGAGGGUGAGAAUCCCGUCUUUGACACGGACUACCAGGGCAUUGUGAUACGCUCUCAAAGAGUCGAGUUGUUUGGGAUUGCAGCUCAAAAUGGGUGGUAAAUUCCAUCUAAAGCUAAAUAUUGGGGAGAGACCGAUAGCGAACAAGUACCGUGAGGGAAAGAUGAAAAGAACUUUGGAAAGAGAGUUAAACAGUACGUGAAAUUGCUGAAAGGGAAACGCUUGAAGUCAGUCGCGUCGUUCAGGAUUCAGCUUUAGCAUCUGCUUUGUGCAUUUCCUGUUUGACGGGUCAGCAUCAGUUUUGGCCGGUGGAUAAAGGUUCAGAGAAUGUGGCAUCCUCGGAUGUGUUAUAGCUCUGGGUCGCAUACAUCGGCUGGGACUGAGGAACUCAGCACGCCGUAAGGCCAGGUUCGACC
rnacentral:rRNA from 1 species